rnacentral:misc_RNA from 1 species
GAUGAAGAACGUAGCGAAAUGCGAUAACUAAUGUGAAUUGCAGAAUUCAGUGAAUCAUCGAGUCUUUGAACGCACAUUGCGCCCCCUGGUAUUCCGGGGGGCAUGCCUGUCCGAGCGUCAUUGCUGCCCUCAAGCACGGCUUGUGUGUUGGGCUCCGUCCCCCCGGGGACGGGCCCGAAAGGCAGCGGCGGCACCGAGUCCGGUCCUCAAGCGUAUGGGGCUUUGUCACCCGCUCUGUAGGCCCGGCCGGCGCCAGCCGACAACCCAUCAUCCUUUUCAGGUUGACCUCGGAUCAGGUAGGGAUACCCGCUGAACUUAAGCAUAUCAAUAAGCGGAGGA